ensembl:lncRNA
AACUGGGAAGAGCCCGCCCCCUCACUGAAGGAAACAGGGAAGUCAGUCUAAUCGCAUUUUUUUUUUUUUCUCAAAGUGACUUGUGACGAUGCCAGGCAGAGAGCGAAGUGAGUAGUCAAAGAAAACUCACCCUGGACAAACCGGCUGCUGGCAUCUCAGCUGCCGGGGUGGGAAGCGCCCUCUGCGGGAAUGAAGUCAUCCUACCCUUUUCUGGGUGCGCCCAGAUAACCGACCAGAGCGUUCCUUUCCCAAGCUCUGGGGCCUGAGGACUUCCAGCUACUCCACCAGGUUCUCAGGUCCUGGACUCCGUCCUAAUUCCUCACCUCCUACUGCGAGCCUUGCACAGGACGAGAGAAGCCACAAGCACAGAACUGAGACUUCCUAUCUGGUUAGCCAGCUGCUUCCAUACUCAGCCAUCGAUACGUUCUUCGAACUGGUCCUUCUCUUCCCUACAACUACCCAGUGACAACAGGGGUCUUCGGUCACUCAAGGCCAGAGACCUUGGCCUCUAGAGUAUGGAGGGAGCCAUCAGCUUGAUGCAAGCUCUUUGAAGCAGGAUAUAAAAACAUGAAGGCAACAGUCAGGCAUCAUAACAUUUUAUGGUGAACUGAAGAAACGCAGGCUUGCACAGGCCGGUUAACAUUUCAGAAGACAUGCCGGUGCUUGACCUAAAGCAAGGCGGCCCACAAGUGGACUGAAAAACAAUACUAGCUCUCUCUCACAGGGCUUGAGGAG